rnacentral:tRNA from 1 species
CACUGAGAAGCUUAUCCGGGACAAGCGUUAGCCUUUUAAGCUAGAGACAGGUGGCUCCCAACCACCCUCAGUGA